rnacentral:rRNA from 1 species
AACGAACGCUGGCGGCGUGGAUUAGGCAUGCAAGUCGAGCGAGAAAGGGGUAGCAAUAUCCUGAGUAAAGCGGCGAACUGGUGAGUAACAGGUGGGCAAUGUUCCCUGAAGUUGGGGGAUAACUCCGAGAAAUCGGAGCUAAUACCGAAUGUGGCCCUCGGGAUCUCGGUCCGGAGGGUUAAAGACGUAAUUCGCUUUAGGAUCGGCCCGCCCGACGUA